UACGGAGGGGGCUAGCGUUGUUCGGAAUUACUGGGCGUAAAGGGCGCGUAGGCGGUUUACCAAGUCAGGCGUGAAAGGCCUGGGCUCAACCCGGGAACUGCGCUUGAUACUUGUAGACUUGAGUCCGGGAGAGGAUGGCGGAAUUCCCAGUGUAGAGGUGAAAUUCGUAGAUAUUGGGAAGAACACCGGUGGCGAAGGCGGCCAUCUGGACCGGAACUGACGCUGAGGCGCGAAGGUCAGGGGAGCAAACGGG
rnacentral:rRNA from 1 species